rnacentral:tRNA from 1 species
ACCCCAUUCAUGGAGGUACAAAUCCUCUCCUUUUUA